rnacentral:piRNA from 1 species
UAUCGGACUCUUCACGUAGCCUUACCUCAC